CAAUAGCGUAUAUUAAAGUUGUUGCGGUUAAAAAGCUCGUAGUUGGAUUUCUGCUGAGGACGAUCGGUCCGCCCACUGGGUGAGUAUCUGGCUCGGCCUUGGCAUCUUCUUGGAGAACGUUGCUGCACUUGACUGUGUGGUGCGGUAUCCAGGACUUUUACUUUGAGGAAAUUAGAGUGUUUCAAGCAGGCGCACGCCUUGAAGACAUUAGCAUGGAAUAAUAAGAUAGGACCUUAGUUCUAUUUUGUUGGUUUCUAGAGCUGAGGUAAUGAUUAAUAGGGAUAGUUGGGGGCAUUCGUAUUUAACUGCCAGAGGUGAAAUUCUUGGAUUUGUUAAAGACGGACUACUGCGAAAGCAUUUGCCAAGGAUGUUUUCAUUGA
rnacentral:rRNA from 1 species